GUUAGGAAUAUUGGACAAUGGGCGCAAGCCUGAUCCAGCCAUGCCGCGUGAGUGAUGAAGGCCUUCGGGUUGUAAAGCUCUUUAGUCCACGAAUAUAAUGACUGUAGUGGAAGAAUAAGCCCCGGCUAACUUCGUGCCAGCAGCCGCGGUAAUACGAAGGGGGCGAGCGUUAUUCGGAAUCACUGGGCGUAAAGCGUGCGUAGGCUGUUUUGUAAGUCAGAAGUGAAAGCCCAGGGCUUAACCCUGGAAUUGCUUUUGAAACUACAAGACUCGAAUUCGGGAGAGGAUAGCGGAAUUGUCAGUGUAGCAGUGAAAUGUGUAGAUAUUGACAGGAACACCUGUGGCGCAAGCGGCUAUCUGGACCGAUAUUGACGCUGAGGCACGAAAGCGUGGGGAGCAAACAGGAUUAGAAACCCCUGUAGUCC
rnacentral:rRNA from 1 species